rnacentral:rRNA from 1 species
UCCGUAGGUGAACCUGCGGAAGGAUCAUUAAUGAAACUUCAAAGUCGGCUUGUCUAUCUGUGCUGGUGGAGACACAUGUGCACGUUGGCAGGUCGCAAAUCCACACACCUGUGCAUCUAUGACUCUGAGUACCGCUUUGCAUGGCCCUUAGGGGCCUGGUACUCGAGUACUUUACACACUCUGAAUGUAAUGGAAUGUCUUUUGUACAAUGUACAACUAAAACAACUUUCAACAACGGAUCUCUUGGCUCUCGCAUCGAUGAAGAACGCAGCGAAAUGCGAUAAGUAAUGUGAAUUGCAGAAUUCAGUGAAUCAUCGAAUCUUUGAACGCACCUUGCACCCUUUGGUAUUCCGAAGGGUACACCCGUUUGAGUGUCAUUGUAAUCUCACUACAACUACUUUGUUGUUUGUAUGUGGAUCUGGAUGUUGCCGUGUAACAAACGGCUCGUCUGAAUGCCUGAGUGUACCCUGCUUUUGCGGCGUAUUCGGUGUGAUAAAUCUUCACCGGAGUUGACUUUCGGGUCGGCGUCUGGCUUAACAUGGGGCUCUAUGGCUUCCAACCGGUCCUAACAAGGACAACCUUUGGACAAUUUGGGACCUCAAAUCGGGGGGGGUGGGGACUACCCCUGAACUUAA